AAGAUAAUGCCUGUUGUCAUGCUGUCUUAUUAUGUUUCCUUUUCCAAACCCAUCUCUCACUGCUGACAUACACGCAGAAUUGCAUUGGUGCAUUGGUUCUCCUUUGAAGUUAGUAUGGCAUGAAGAAAACAAAAUACACUGAACACUGAAUGAUUUAAUGGAAAGCAACAAAUCGUGAACCCAUUGUGGUGACAUCUGAUGAAGCCGUAUUUACAGCUUUACCAGGUGUUAAUUGCUUUCCUGGUUAUAUUUGGUGUUGGCUCAGUCACAAGAUGAUGUCUCAUGUCUCACAAUCUUCAACUCGUGACGUAUUGGUAAACCUAAACCCAUUAAGGGAUAAUGUCAUGGAAGGCUCUUAAUAUUUGACAUUUGCUUCUGUAUAUAUUCAAAGCUGUAUGCUCUUUACAUAUGGAUAAAGUAGAUCCUCAAGGUUUCAGUGAGCAGUUGAGUGAGCAGGGUGCCGUGGUGGCAGUCUGGUCGGGAAAUGUUCCUCGGUGUGGUCUGACUGCUGGCUGACCUCCAGGAGAUGUUUAUAGACAAUAAGGGCAAGGUCACCUUCUCAGAGCAACGGAGAACUCACACGGUCCAUGAAGUCAGCAGUCACUUGACCACACUGAGAAUCUCUGACGUCUACAAAUAAACAGACAGGAGCCACGUCGCAUAUUGGACAACAGAGAGGCGUUCCCCGGUACACAAACUUAUAGCUUCCUCAGGCAUUUGAGACAGAGAAUGAACCAUAGGAAUUAUCAGGGAUGUCCUCUUAAUAAAGUAUGUAGGCUUUCACUCUCCUUUUCUUUUCAAAAUAAUUUAUUGCUAGUAUCUCAGCCUCUAGUGAGAUAAGUUCAUGGGUUCUCAGGGAAUGCAUGAACUGAUAAAAUGUAUACAUUGAAUGCAAUGUAGGUUGCUUUGGACAAAAGCAUCAACCAGUGACAUGAAUGUAAAUGUAUUAAUAAUAGGCAUUCUGAUAUGGCUAAAAGUGCCCACUCUUCAUUAAAUCAGUUCCUGAAGGAUGACAUUUUGUCUUAACCUUUUUGUCAAGUCAGAUUUAUUUGUAUAACAUUUUGUACAUUUUGUUUCAAAUCAGCUUUACAGAAAAUCAUGAUGUUACUGUUAAUGUACAAUAUCUUAACAUCUUCAUGCCUUAUAGUCACAUUUAACAGAUCAGAGCUGGGCAUAAUAUAGGAUGUGUUCAUACUUGUCAGGUUUGGUUUGUUUAAAACAAAAUCUGGUGCGAUUGCUCUGUUAGUGUGAUUCAUUUGAAUAAGUGUGAAUGCUGCCAUCUGAACCCUGGUGUGCACACCAAACAAGACCUGAAAAGGGUCAUAUUUGUGGUGCCCCCGGAACACAAAUACAACUGAGGGGGACACAAAAUGGACUACAUGAUUUUUUAGAGAAAGCAAAAUCAGGUUUGUCUCUUGUUACCUUACAGACUACACCAAAUAGCACAGUUACAACCACCCCCGAAAUUAUCAGUCAUUCAAAGCUGGGGAGGAAUUGUGGGAGCUUCAUUAGGUUCAUGGAUGACUCAGAUUUACCCCUGGGCCUUUGCCAGGGCAUGCCUAUGUUCUGAGAGGUCAGCCAAAAGAAGAUCUGCCAUUUAUGGAGAGCAAGUAAAUUGAUAACACAGAGAGAUAAUCUAAUAUGGUGGUGAUAUUUGCACUUGACAGAGGUGGAACAACAUGGGAGUGGGCAAAGACUGCUGACUGAAUGACCUUCUUUAAAAGUAAAGGGAAAAACCCCCCCACCAGAUUCGACCUGCGUCAUAUCAUAACUCAAUGGUCAUGUAAAAGAUAUACUUUUAUCCAAAGCAACUUACACUAUUCAAGCUAUACAUUUUUUCAAUUAAUUUCAUACCCUGGAAAUCGAACGUGUCAGGUUAUGUAUGUAACCCGGUUCCCUGAGAGAGGAACAAGAUGCUGCAUCAUGGCUUGAUGCUAUGGGAAAUCUCAACAGUUUGAGUUGGUGUCUAAAGCACAUGUUUACAUGGCAACCAAGGAUUGGCUGAGCGUGAUGAAAUAGUGACGUAGCAUAGUACGUCACUGAAACCAUAAAUAGACACCAUGUCAGAGUGUCACCAGAUUCUAAUUGUCUGAAGGAGACAGCCUUGAUACAUACAUAACCAGAGAUCUUCCCUUUCCAGUGGAACCACUGUCUCCAUGCCACUGGACAAUACCUGCCCAACAAGGCUGUAUUUCUGCACAGACAGUUGUGAGUGCGGGCUAAGACCAGAUCAGCCCUGAAGGACCUGAGACCCUGGGGAUGAAUCUGUAUCCAAACUAUAAAACUUGAUGAAUGUGUGUGGAAAGAACCAUCUUGCCACAUCACAAACAUCUUGCAAUGGUACAUCCCUAGCAAGAGCUUUGAAAGGUGCGACACUUCUAGUGGGGUGGGCCUUAACCCCUAGAGGCAAAGCCAUUCCUUGCACCUCAUAGGGAUCCUGUGUCAGUGAUCCAGUGUGAGAUGUGCUGCUUGGUGACCACAUUCCCUUUAUUGCUGCCACUAAAGCAGACCAGGAGCUGAGAGGACUUAAGCCACUGUCCUUGGCUGCAUUUCCCACAUCGUAGGCCUAAGUACAUGUAGAACCAUGUAGAGCAACAGGAAUGAACUCGCAGCCAGCAGAGCCGUCUGGCACCGCAUGAGAACCAAGAAACCAGAUGAUGUCUCCCUACAGAAGCCCCAUCUAAAGCCGAUUCGUCAUGUUGAAUCGGCGUUGGAGCCCAUCGGUCCAUCUGGCCAUCUGAUCAUUCUGAUUGGCUGUUCAGCUACUGCCACCUGCUGGUAUGGAAAGGCAUUUCAUCUUACACAGGCGCAGAACGAAAGUGCUUCUUGGCCGUCAACUGUCAAGCGUCGGUUUGGUGUGUCAGGGCAACUUUGGAACAAGACGCUGCCGAUUUGAGCCAGUCUGCAUUCAUCGCCACUAGUUCGUCGACGUCUGCUUGGUGUGCUCCUGCCUUUAGAGUUUAGUCUUGUUAAUCCCUUUGUUAGUUUCCUUGGUUACCAAUUAGUUACAUCUGUGUCUCAAUUAGUUUGUUUGUGUACACAUUGUGUACACAUUUGUGUAUACAUUUCUUCUGAGUGUUGAAAUAACACAGCUGUACAACAUGAAAAAUUUACAACAUAAAUAAGAUCCAAAACCAAUCUGUCUUUUACAAUGUCAUCUUAUCCAUAUUUCCAUGAGUUCACUCGUACAUGAAAUCAGAUAUAGUAAAUUACACUUAUUUGGCGUGCUGUCCGGUGGAUGGCUCCGAGCUUGGAAUUUGGCCCAAACCCUGAGUACUCCCACUCCUUGACUGGGAUAGGAACCAGCCAAGAAUGAGGCAAUGGGGUGGUGGAGGGAUGCUGUGAAACUUUCCUCUUGUACUGAUUGGUUGGAUUACAUGAACAUGCUCCUCCCGAACUUUUUUAAAUUAAACUUCAUGGUAAAACUAAUACAUAUGAAUUGAGAGUUCAAGAGACAUGAUUGCUUUAUAUGAUGAACAGAUUGAAUAUAGGCUUUUAUUCACAUAAACAUUGAUCAGCGAACAUAAAGAGAAGUUCAACUGUAUAUGCUUGACGUGCAAGAACAAACCUUAUUGGUUUCAUUGGCCAUUGAAACAAAUACAGAUACAAUAUCUGACAGCCUUGUGGGCAGCGCUCCGACAUAAAGUGCGUCAGGUGACCUGAGUUUGAGUCUUGGCUAGGGUACCUCUCCCGAUCAUGUUCCUCUCUCUCUCCCACUUUGCUACCUGUCAGUUCUCUGUACUGUCCAAUUUCAAUAAAGGCAAAAAUGCUUAAAAACAAAAACAAAUACAGAUAUUUCUUCACUGCACAUCACUCGUUUUUGUGUACCAAGAGCAAUAAAGUCUAACUGUGUUUUGUCAUGAAA